CAACGAGCGCAACCCUUGCCUUUAGUUGCCAGCAGUUCGGCUGGGCACUCUAAAGGGACUGCCGGUGUUAAACCGGAGGAAGGUGGGGAUGACGUCAAGUCCUCAUGGCCUUUAUGACCAGGGCUACACACGUACUACAAUGGCCGAUACAAAGGGCAGCGACACUGCGAGGUGAAGCCAAUCCCGUAAAAUCGGUCUCAGUCCGGAUUGGAGUCUGCAACUCGACUCCAUGAAGUUGGAAUCGCUAGUAAUCGCGCAUCAGCCAUGGCGCGGUGAAUACGUUCCCGGGCCUU
rnacentral:rRNA from 1 species